rnacentral:ncRNA from 1 species
CAGGUUCCCUUCGGGGAUCAAAAGGGAAUGGGGUGGAACGCCCCGGCUGCCCCUGCAACUGUAAGCGGCGAGCCGUUCGCCACGACGCCAUUGGGGAAACCCCCGAGAAGGCGGCGAACUGGCCCCGACCCGCGAGCCAGGAGACCUGCCCGUCGC